CUGUCUCAUAUCUCCCACCGCCAUGUGCCAGCUGAUAGGGGAGCUGUGACAUACCACACCCCCGCGGCUGGGAAGGGGGUCACAUGGACUGGUCUCAUCCAGAGCACUUUAAAGAAACUGAUAAGCUCUAUCUCAUUUAACUUGGCCUUUGGAAGACGCUUGUGGAAAUUUCUGCAAAGGAGGUGACAUCAGUUGUUGUCACAGCUGCUGUGCCUUAUGGUGACCUUAUUGGUGGCUGACUCCAGAGAGACAUCUCAUGAUUCUGAGUUAAGAGUUUCUCCAUCUCCAAAAUCAGGGACUUUCAACUCUAAAGUCAAGAGAACUACAUUAGGUGCAAUUCCCUAAUAUUGGCCACGGAGUGAGGAUUGAGUCACUCCUAUGUGUCUUCAGAGGAAGAAUGCAUAUCACAGUCCCGCUCUGACAGCGUAGGCUCAGUGAAAUGAAGAAGAACAAGUAUUCUAUUGUUGUGCACCAUGGAAAGUGUUCCCCAGUGAAAACCACAAUUUCACUUUGGUUUGAUGAUCACAUCCUGGUGGCAUUGGAUUUAUCAUUUUAACCCAAGGAAACUAGAAUGGACAAAUAAACAAACAAAAUCCCUGAUAUUUAAGAUGACUCUUGUUCCAGUUGGAAGGUUGAUCACCUUAGCAAGUUCCAUCUGAACUUCAUUUGGGUUUGCACGAGAGUAUCACUUUGGGUUUAGCUUUUGACAAGACUUCUGCUUUUGAUGCUUAUCCUUACCAGAGAGUGAGAAGACCUUUUUACCAUCACAGCUCUUUUCAAAAGACAUGAGAAAGCAUCUGGAAAGCCAGAUUUUAACAGUGGGCAAGUUAUAAAUAGUAACAUACAGAAUCACACUCUGAACGAAAAUUAUUUGAUUUUUUUCAUUACAGCAUUAUAUUACAUUGACUCUGGUUUCCGUGUACUAGAAGCAUGUAUUAUAUCCUUAUCAUAUCCUUAGGUUCCUAGACACAGAGAUCAAUUAACAUAUGUCAAGGGUAAUUCUUACAGUCUAACUGCACCUGGCUAACUGAUAGCACCUACAGAUAUGGACAGAACAGAGCACCAGAAUUUAGGUAUCUUAAAGGAAUUAUUUCCUGUCAGAUGAUGAAGAUGAAAUAAUGGAAAGUAUUUGCUUUUAGUCCAGUCUGUUGGGUUUGAUAUUUUUAUAACUCUUAACCCAGACUAAAUCUUCAACCGUUUUGAACGUGAAAAAAAAAAAUAGAAUGUCUGUCUUUUAUAAAGUACACAUUCAUUAAAAAGGAAACUAGAAAACCAUCUUUAGAGUAAUUCCUUCUAUAAGAAAGAGACAACACCCCCAACUUGUUCCCUCCACCCCCACAAGCUACACCUUAAAAACACAAUUCUAUAAUUAAAGUGAAAAUAAAUUUUACUUUGUCUUAAUUGAUGCCAUAUUGACAGGUAAUUGCGAUUGGUUUUGUUUGUAUGCCUGGUACAUUGUGCUCAUGUUCAGUGCUGUAAAAGGAAAAACUGUAAAAUUGUAUUCUGCAGUGUUGAAAGUACUGCAUUUCAAGGAAAAUAAUGAAUUUUGUCAAAUUGACAGUUAUGACUAAAUGUGCCCAAGCACAAGACACCCUGAGUAAAGCAGUAUGGUUGUAAACUACUCAAUUUUCUUCCCAAAGCAAUUUGAGAAAAAGUGUCUUCAGAAUCUACCAUGUAGCAUGUGGGUAAAGGAAGAACAUACCGACAACUUACUAUGAAUCAUCAUUCCAUACUUUGGUACAUCUUUUCUUUGUUCCCUAUACUAAUAUUGUGACUGAAUAUGUGGAAAUAUAUCUUACCAUAUCAGUAUUUACUUGGUGUUAACCGUGUUGAACAAUGGCUUUAUAAAAUAGGGAACUGAGAAGGCUUUGAAAAGAAUCAUUGUUAAGUUUAAUGCUCUGUUUACAGGCCAAGAAUGAAAGUAGAAUUUAACAUUUUGUUUAUUGCUUUUUCAUUGCGUAUCAUUAAGGCUACUUGAUGUGUUUGGCCAGCCUGGUUAUCAUUCCCAGAAUUAAAAGAGUUCUGAAGUGCAGGAAUACUUCUAGGAAAACAAGAGAAUUAGAUCAGUAGAGAAGAUUUGAUUUAUGAACUCUUGUCUCUCUUAUAUUGGAUGUCUUAAUUUAGGAAGAUCCAGAUAUCAGAUACAUAGGGAUUUUGUAACAGGUGCUUUAAAUUCAGGUGCACUGUGGAUUUAAUUUCACAAAGCAGUUUGCUGCUCUUCUAAUGUCUUUAUAGUUGAGGUAGUCUGUUUGUAGAGUCUAGUAAGUGAUUCAACUGAACUUAAUGUGCAUGUCACAUGUGAUGGUAUGACCAAUUUAAAAGUCUUUGGAAAGUUCUGUAUUUCUUCAUUAGAGAAUAUAAAGUUAU